rnacentral:rRNA from 1 species
AGCGAACGCUGGCGGCAGGCCUAACACAUGCAAGUCGAACGAACCUUUCGGGGUUAGUGGCGGACGGGUGAGUAACACGUGGGAACGUGCCUUUAGGUUCGGAAUAACUCAGGGAAACUUGUGCUAAUACCGAAUGUGCCCUUCGGGGGAAAGAUUUAUCGCCUUUAGAGCGGCCCGCGUCUGAUUAGCUAGUUGGUUGAGGUAAUGGCUCACCAAGGCGACGAUCAGUAGCUGGUCUGAGAGGAUGAUCAGCAACAUUGGGACUGAGACACGGCCCAAACUCCUACGGGAGGCAGCAGUGGGGAAUCUUGCGAAAUGGGCGAAAGCCUGACGCAGCCAUGCCGCGUGAAUGAUGAAGGUCUUAGGAUUGUAAAAUUCUUUCACCGGGGACGAUAAUGACGGUACCCGGAGAAGAAGCCCCGGCUAACUUCGUG